UUGCCACAGCUUUCAAAGAGAAACCUGCAGUUUGUCCACCAGCUCUACCUCUACACUGUUAAUCUGCUCUGCUAUGUGCACCACAGACCCACAUUUAAUCUCCUACUUGCAUACUUCCAGGUCUUUCCAUUUGCCACGUCUCCAUAGACACGCUUGUUAAAAAUGUGAUCAUUCCAAGGAGAAAGCUAGAUCUGUCAUCAUUCCUGCAAUUCGAGCUAAAAUGAUCCAGAAGCGGCGUUAGGCUGCGUGACAGGGAGUAUGCAGAACUGCAACACUUAUGACCGCUGGAAACACACAUGCGGACAACAGCCAGGCUCCUGAUAAAACGUGAGGACUGUUUGCAAUCAUCCCAGAGAGAGGAGGUAUCAGCAUCUCAACAGAGACUAAAACCAGCAACCCCAUCUGCUGCUCUGAACCUCUCUAGAUAGCGUGCACAAAGAGCAGCACAGACCAUUAAAGUCUGCAGGCCAAAACACCAACCAGUAAUCUGGAGGAGAACAAGGUGACAAACUCAGCAAAUUCACAGCAUCCUACAAAGAGGAGUUGGAUAAGCUGAGGAUUAAGAACAAAGUUGAAAAUCACUGAAAGAGGAGAAAAGCAAAAAUACACAAAACAGAGAAGAAACUUGAAAACGUAAAGACUUGUUGGAAGUCCAGAGAGUGCUAAAGAAAGAGAAAAGGGCAACGCAGGAGGCAAAAAAAGAAAUUCACAAUGCAAAGAAGGAAUUAUUGGAAGUCCAGAAAGCACUGGAAGAGAAGACAAGGGGACUGCAAAAUUAAUUGUUAAUUAAUCCGUAAAGCACUCAAAAUGAGAAGAUUGACGUGAUGGGGAUAAAGACAGAUGGUAGACACUGAACUGUCACAGAAGGAUGGGGAAAGAAGAAGAAGCAGGUGAAAAAGAAGACAAACGAGCAGGAGAAGACAGUCAAGAACAAGAGCUGCUUCCAAAAGAAAAAAACAUCUACUAGUUACUAGAGAUGGACCGAUCCAAUAUUACGUAUCGGUAUCGGUCCGAUACUGACGUAAAUUACUGGAUCGGAUAUCGGAGAGAAAUAAAAAAUGUAAUCCGAUCCAUUAAAUAUCAAAAAAGCACCUCACAAAACUUGCUACACGGUGUAACUCGGCUCAUAACCAUGAUAGAGCGGCUGUGUGUAUUUGUAGCCUCCAGCAUUUCAUCUCCAAGGAAGUUAUCCCAGAGAGAAGUAAAGCAAGUGUGUAAGUUCAUCUCUGAAUGUUUGUAAAGCAUUCCCACGUUAAGCUUAACAACCGAUAUAUGGAGCAAGUGCCUCUUCUCUCUCCCUCCCUCUCCUGCUGCUACUUCAAUCAUGAAACUGAUUAAUGAUCAGCUGAUCGGCUUUUCUGUCGGGAGUCCGUCUCUCUUCUUUGUUUUUGGCCCACUUUGCACCAGAAAGAGGAAACCAGCGGCUGAACAACAGCAGCACGUUUAACCUUGAUAAGCUGUUGUUAGAAUUUAUUUAAUAUUACUUUCUAGACCAGGAUCCUUUUCUAGGUAGCUGACGGCUGGUAACUGUGCAGGGGCGGAUCUAGCAAAGUUUAACCAGGGGGGCCGAUAGGGCAUUAACAGGGAAAAGGGGGGCACAAAGACAUACUUUUCUUUCUUAUUCUCAUUUAAAAUGUCUAGCUUUUAAUAAAUAAUUAUCUGAAUCUUACAUCCAAAGUUUUAAUCUGAUGUAAAAUGUAUAGAAGUCCAUUACUGUAUAUAGUAACUGUUAAGUCUAAUAUACCCUAGUAAACUAUACUACUUUUUCCUUUGGGAAGAUACCAUCUGUGCAGUCUGCAAUUCUGUUGAAGAAAGAUGUUGAAUCUAUUUAAUUAUUCUUGAAAAA